GCGGCGAGUGAAGCGGCAAAAGCUCAAAUUUGAAAUCUGGCGCCUUCGGUGUCCGAGUUGUAAUUUGAAGAUUGUAACCUUGGGGUUGGCUCUUGUCUAUGUUUCUUGGAACAGGACGUCACAGAGGGUGAGAAUCCCGUGCGAUGAGAUGCCCAAUUCUAUGUAAGGUGCUUUCGAAGAGUCGAGUUGUUUGGGAAUGCAGCUCUAAGUGGGUGGUAAAUUCCAUCUAAAGCUAAAUAUUGGCGAGAGACCGAUAGCGAACAAGUACAGUGAUGGAAAGAUGAAAAGAACUUUGAAAAGAGAGUGAAAAAGUACGUGAAAUUGUUGAAAGGGAAGGGUUUGAGAUCAGACUCGAUAUUUUGUGAGCCUUGCCUUCGUGGCGGGGUGACCCGCAGCUUAUCGGGCCAGCAUCGGUUUGGGCGGUAGGAUAAUGGCGUAGGAAUGUGACUUUACUUCGGUGAAGUGUUAUAGCCUGCGUUGAUGCUGCCUGCCUAGACCGAGGACUGCGAUUUUAUCAAGGAUGCUGGCAUAAUGAUCCCAAACCGCCCGUC
rnacentral:rRNA from 1 species